UUGUCGUCAGCUCGUGUCGUGAGAUGUUGGUUAAGUCCGCAACGAGCGCAACCCCUACUUGUUAGUUGCCAUCAUUCAGUUGGGCACUCUAGCGAGACUGCCGGUAAUAAACCGGAGGAAGGUGGGGAUGACGUCAAAUCAUCAUGCCCCUUAUGACCUGGGCUACACACGUGCUACAAUGGUUGGUACAACGAGUUGCGAGUCGGUGACGGCGAGCUAAUCUCUUAAAGCCAAUCUCAGUUUCGGAUUGUAGGCUGCAACUCGCCUACAUGAAGUCGGAAUCGCUAGUAAUCGCGGAUCAGCACGCCGCGGUGAAUACGUUCCCGGGCCUU
rnacentral:rRNA from 1 species